rnacentral:lncRNA from 1 species
CUUCAAAUUUUGUCAUCUUUAUUUUGCUCGUACUUGCAAUGAGUCAGGAACAAUUAUUGAACUUUGCAAAUUAUAUUAUGCAUGUAUUGGGAUUUUUCAUCUUAAUUCAUGUCAUUUCAUGCUUUUCAUUAAAUGGCGUUAGCAUAUAUGUAGUUUUUGUGCAUUUAAUAAUCAUGUGUAAGGUGAUCGUAAACAGGUCGAAUGUUUUGUUUUCAAGAACCUCAUAGUUUUACCAUCUUCAGUUUUUGUGCUGGUUUUUUAAGUAACUUAUGACGUUUGAAGGUAUUUUUGGGUUCUGUUUAACACAAACAACUUUAAAAACUGAAAGAAAAAGGAUCUGGAGAUUAAAGAAUGGAAGAGAAGAAAUGAAGAACCCAAGUGUACUAUGUUCGUCUACUUCUGCAACUGUAAUGCUAGCCCCCUUCCCGCAAGAAAGUCUAGCAAAUAGUUGGUCAAUUUAGUUAUAUUAUUGGUUGUGGCUUAUGCUUCAAAGUGCCCCGAAGUUCUGUAUCAUGGAGCUGAACUGCAUUCUCUCUGAUCUAGCCUUCUGAAUGUUUGUUAAAUAUGAAGAGAACAAACUAUGAGCUCCGACAGAAAGGCUUCCUUCUGUAGACUUCGGG